rnacentral:tRNA from 1 species
GAGUAUGUUAAGCCUUAAUGAGAACUGCUAAUUCCUCAUUCCCCUGGUUAAACUCCACGGCCUACUCA